UUCAGGCAGACUGGAGGUGAAGUCCGACGGGUCGUGGUCCUCGGUGUGUGAAGGGGAGUUUGACCGGCAGGUUGCAGAGGUGAUCUGCAGGGAGCUGGACUGUGGGGCUCCUUCAGUCCUCCAGGGGGCGCUCUAUGGAGAAGUGUAGGCUCAGUGUGGAACAGAGAGUUCCAGUGUGAAGGAAGUGAGCCUCAUCUCCUGGAGUGUCACAGAUCAACCUGCUCAUCCGGCCGAGCACUUGGACUCACCUCUUCAGACCCCGCUGAUGUCAGGCUGGUGGGAGGAGCCAACCAUUGCCCUGGUGUACUACAGCUGAAACAUCAUGAAACCUGGGAAGCAGAGAAGUCCAAAGACUGGAACCUGAAGGCAGCAAAUAUAUUAUGUCGACGGCUGGACUGUGACUCCUCAGUUUCAACACGAAGCACAGAAGAUUCUUCAAUACAUCCUGUGUGGAGAGUCAACUCAUCCUGUGUUCAGUCCACAUAUAAACUGACGGAUUGUUGACAACAAAGGAUACAUGGGGGUCUUACAGCUUGGACAUCACCUGCUCAGGUGACACCAGUAAUAACACUUUUGUGCCUGGACUUUGGUAAAAGUACCAUUUGUCUAAGCAAUAUAAUUGAUCAGUUGUGGCUAUCAAAAUAAUAAAAUAUUAAUAUUAAAUGAUAA